CGGAACACAACACAAGCCAGUGCUCACUUAGCUGAAUUCUGAAGGAAACACCAACCCCAGCCAGAGAGGAACGCUGUGUCCCAGUGGUAGGAGUUUGAGACCCAGCUAGCUCUGCUACCAGCUGACUACAGGGGCCUGGGGCCCAGGAUAAAUUUAAAAGGCAAUCAGGGCCGGGCGCAGCGGCUCACGCCUGUAAUCCCAGCACUUUGGGAGGCCGAGGCGGGCGGAUCACGAGGUCAGGAGAUCAAGACCAUCCUGGCUAACACGGUGAAACCCCGUCUCUACUAAAAAUACAAAAAAUUAGCCGGGCUUGGUGGCGGGCGCCUGUAGUCCCAGCUACUCAGGAGGCUGAGGCAGGAGAAUGGUGUGAACCCGGGAGGCGGAGCUGGCAGUGAGCUGAGAUCGCGCCCCUGCACUCAGGCCUGGGCAACAGAGAGAGGCUCCAUCUCAAAAAAAAAAAAAAAAAAAAGGCAAUCAGGCCACAAGGGUUUCACAAGGACAUUCCUGGUGCUGUGCUGAGCUUGAAGCCACUAGGCUUGAUUUACCUACAACCCAGUGAAACACCAGCUGUGGUGGCUAAGGGAUUGUUUGUGUCAACCUCUCCCCCAACUCCAGGCAGCGCAGCUUUCAGCUCCAGGAAAAACUUUUUCCACUUGCAGAAAGGAGAGGGAGGAAUACAGAGGACUUUGUCUUGCAACUUGGGUGCCAGCUCAGUCACAGUAAAAUAAACCACAAAGCAGAUUCUUAAAGCCUCUGAUUCUAGGGCCCGGCUCCUGGACAGCAUUUCUAAACCUGCUUGGGCCAGAAGGGAACCUGCUACUCUCAAGAUGUUACUACAAACAUUCAAACUGAUACCUACUGAGAAGCACUCUAGGCUAAGUGGUUUGGAAAUUCUGCAUCCCCCAGAAUGCUUCAAUGCUUCUGAUGAAAGCCCUGAUAUAUGGGAUUCCUGUUGUGAGAUCCUAGGUGAAUAAUCCUAACUGCAGGACUAAUAUUGGACAUACUCAGAGACAGACUUCAUAAGGCCACCCUCACUUUUCCACAUCAGGUGGAAAGAGAAAAAUGAAAUUAUUACCUUUCAAAAUAUUUGUCUGCUUGAAUUAUUUCACUCUUACCCUUAAUAGUAACACCAACUAUAAUUUACUUGCUCCAGAGACAAAAUCAGGUCUUCACAUAUCCUUGAGGCAACUCUAUGUGUUGCAUGCACACAUACACACACACACAU
rnacentral:lncRNA from 1 species